UACGUAGGGGGCUAGCGUUGUCCGGAAUCAUUGGGCGUAAAGGGCUCGUAGGCGGCCAACUAAGUCGGACGUGAAAUCCCUCAGCUUAACUGGGGAACUGCGUCCGAUACUGGAUGGCUUGGAUUUGGGAGAGGGAUGCGGAAUUCCAGGUGUAGCGGUGAAAUGCGUAGAUAUCUGGAGGAACACCGGUGGCGAAGGCGGCAUCCUGGACCAAUAUUGACGCUGAGGAGCGAAAGCUAGGGGAGCAAACGGG
rnacentral:rRNA from 1 species